ensembl:lncRNA LINC00511 long intergenic non-protein coding RNA 511
UGGCUGCUCUUUGGCCUUGGAUGGAAAGUGGGGAAUUGGGUGGGGGGCUGCGGACCCCUUAACGUGGAUUACUUGGUGUGUAUCAGCUGGGCUCAGAAGACCCACGACCUCUUCUCCAUCCGUGGAUUGAUUUGUUCUGCUUAACAGCUGGGUCGCCAAGCUGGAGGUAUUUUUCCCUCUCCACCCUGGUCUUCUCCUGUAACGUGUGGCCGCCUUUUCCAGCACGGCCUCCUGCCUUCCUGGUGCACUUUUUGGAGAACGUGGUGGAAUCAGAGGUUUCUGGCUGACUCGGUGGGUGCUUUGAACCAGGAAAGGACAAGAAAGAGGAGGUCCACAGAUGAAGAACAGCUCUCAUCUCUAUGGUCCCCAGCAUUUAUUUAAAGCUAAGAAUUCACAGGUCAACCAAAUCACUCCCUGAAAACUAAAAUCAACCAAAAGCAGAGGAAGAAUCACUGAGACCCUCCUAGCAUGUCUUUCUUAACUCUCAUACCUGAAAGGAUGGGUAAUUGGGUGUUUCAUAUUGGCAUGGACCCUAACAUGGUGUGACUCAAUCUCUUGCAAUGCUGUGCAUUGCUAGGGCACUGAUUUCAUUGUUGAGAGUCUCUCACUGGUAAGAAAUAUUUCCUUAUUCAGUAUCAAUUUCUUCAGCUGAUUGGCUCUAUUCCACAUCCCAUUGUUAUGGCUCCUCACCUAAGUACAGCUGCAAUGCUUGAGAAAAAAAUGCCCAGGAAAAUUCUUGCCUUUGAGCAGGCCCACCUUAUAUUGAAACCAAAAGUCUGCAAGAAAAAUGGUAGGGAAUGACCUUUAAGCCUUGGAGGAAGAAUUUAUGAGCACAACUAUAGCUUCUUCUUGGCAUAAAGUUGUGUUCUGUAUUCUUCAAAAUUCUCAGAUUUUGUGCACUGUUGGUUCAAGGUCACAACAAAAAGCCCCUAUGCUCUGAGGACAGAAGCAUGCUGGGAUUUCAAGGGCAUGGCCAGAUUUGAGAGAAAGGAGACCUCAGAGCUUACGACUUGGAAAGGCAGAGUCCAACGACAAUGGGUCAUUCUCCUGUUUAGGAUAAGGGCAUGCAAAUAGCAUGUGAAUUGCACAUUACAUUUCUCAGAUGUGAGUAUUUGGUUGAGGAAUGGGGGCUGUUGGCAACACUUCUGGAAAUUGAACUAUCUUUAUCCUGAUUCACAGAGUUGUAGCUGAGCAGGGCAUAG